rnacentral:rRNA from 1 species
GCGUGCCUAAUACAUGCAAGUCGAACGGAAACCCCUCAAAAGGUUUUAGUGGCGAACGGGUGAGUAACACGUAAGUAAUCUACCUUUAAGACGAGGAUAACAACCGGAAACAGUUGCUAAGACUGGAUAGGAAAUAAAAAGGCAUCUUUUUAUUUUUAAAAGACCUUUUUCGAA